rnacentral:lncRNA from 10 species
GGACGCAGAGGACGGGUGAUUUCUGCAUUUCCAUUUGAGUUCCAUUUGAAAAAAAAAAAAAAGCAUUCACUCAAGUGAAAAUGCACGAACUCUAAAAUUAAUGGGAAGAAUGACCAUCUUUAUAAUACAUGUCACAACAAUCUUGAGACUUUGAACAGCACGUGUCUCACACUCCUGUAUAUAUUUACCCAGCAUUAUAUCUUACUAGGUUUGUUUUGUUCUUCUACCUCAAAUAAACUCUUAUGCAUCCUGGUUUGACAUCACCAUCUUGGUCACCACUUCCUCUCUGCUCCUCUCAACACUGCCCAAGAAGUCUUAUCACUGUACCACAAGAUCCCUGGGGGUGUGAGGUUCCUCUUCUACUUUCAUCGAUUUUACCUUAAGAAUAAACUGAUGCAUCUUUUUGUCCUUUUCUCUUCUUAGAGAGCAGGAGAAGAAGAAACAAAUGAACUUCUUUAUUAAUUUUUAUGCUGCCAGGCUUAGAAUAAGUAUUUCUGAGAUAUAUUAGAGAUUUCUAAAACAUUUGCUUGUUUUCUACUCAAAACAACCACUUAUACAAUAUUCCUUUUUGCUCUACCAAGGAUAAAUUUCACUUACUAAGAAUCUCAGGCCUACAUAUUCUUCCUGAGAAUCAGAUUCACCAUGCACCAAUUACUCUAUCUCCUGCUUGAGUUCCAUGACACAGAACUCUCACAGAACAAGUUAAGGGAAGCAACUUCAUUACUCAUACAUAGGCAGCAGGGAACAAUAGAAGCACAGGAUUUACGGCAAGCUGAUCCCCCAAGUCUCAGGAAAGUUUCUGAGGGUGGAUGGAGUCUUGUCUGCAAAUACCCCACAUCUCACUGCAGCUAAGGAAACCUGAAAACCCAAUACCUUGGGUUUUAUAUCCCGGGGCAAUUGCACUCACUGGGCUAAAGCAUUGUAGGUCAUUCUGUGGUGGGAGGGACAGAAAUGAAGCCCAACCAGUUCCUCUUUAUCUCAGAAUGUUGCAUUUCCAGCACAUUCUGCAGUUAUUCUUGAGAACUGUAAGCAAGAAAGGGGGAAAAAGCUGGGUCACCAAGGUCCAUCCAGAGACCUGUCCUGCACUUCCCUGUCUACUUCAGAUGUUGUCACUUAUGUCUCUAAAACAGAGCCCCUUAGAACAUAAAGGCUUUUGACAUAAGACAUUUUCUGGAAGUAAAACUGGCUUCUCAAAAUUUGUCAAAAGUCAAUACAAAACCUUCUGUGCCUGCUUUAGUGUGCUAGAAUUGCCACAUUUGCUGCACCAGGAAAAGGAAUCUUUUAACUCAUUGUUUACCAUUCUUAUUAUGAAAACAGCACAUAGCACGCAUGAUAAAAGAAUUAUUAGCAAAAUAUAAAGUAAAUUAACAUUGAAUAUUUCCACUGAUGUCUGCCUGUAUAUGUGGUACUGUCUAUAUACUUCCAUGAAAAUCAACUAUUGCUUAAAGGUUGAGGCUUAUAUGUAGACCUUAGAAACUGCAUUGUGGUUUUCCUCUUCCUUCUGAACCCAUCUAUCUUCUUUCUUUUGGAAAUUCCCCACCAAUUCAAGGGUAUUUCUUAUGUAUUACUUUACUAAAUCAAAUUAAUAAACAAUCCAGGAAAAUCCUUUAUGCAGCCAUUUGUUCUUUAUGUUUUCUUUGUCUGAUUUUUAAAAUAAUAUAAUCUGCUUUGAAAUUUUCAUCAGGAUCAUGAAGAUUAUUUGAUCCAAACACUGUUCUGAAAAUGCAAUUUCUAAGAAGCUUAAAUAACCCAUGCAUAAUAGAGAGAAAAAAACCACCCGAAUAUGAUGUUUCCUCUC